GCAUUGGUGGUUCAGUGGUAGAAUUCUCGCCUGCCACGCGGGUGACCCGGGUUCGAUUCCCGGCCAAUGCA
rnacentral:tRNA from 1 species